UACGGAGGGUGCAAGCGUUAUCCGGAUUCACUGGGUUUAAAGGGAGCGUAGGUGGGCUGGUAAGUCAGUGGUGAAAUCUCCGGGCUUAACUCGGAAACUGCCGUUGAUACUAUCAGUCUUGAAUAUUGUGGAGGUAAGCGGAAUAUGUCAUGUAGCGGUGAAAUGCUUAGAUAUGACAUAGAACACCGAUAGCGAAGGCAGCUUGCUACACAAAUAUUGACGCUGAGGCUCGAAAGCGUGGGGAUCAAACAGG
rnacentral:rRNA from 1 species